rnacentral:lncRNA from 1 species
GAUAAAAUAUCACCACAUGCCAAACAGAUUAAAUUUGCAGUUCCACCAAAAUAAUAACCAUGCAGGAAAUAAUAAGAAAAUAUCCAACCAAGAGACACCAAGAUUUUACGUGAAAAACCCUCUAAAACUAAGAGGUAAAAACCACGGGACAAACUCCGAAUAAUUCACUAGAAUAAUAUGAGAGAAUACAAAGAUAUCUUAAUUUGAGUACAAACUCAAAUUACUUCACCACAAUAAAUAUGUGAUGGAACCCAAAUAAAACACUCUUUUAUUUGAACUAUCUUUCUCUCUCUAUUUUUCUAACUCUCUUCCACCCUCUUCCGAAUGGGAUUACUUUCAUCCAUCUUUCCCAUAUGAGAUUUCUCUCACCCACUCUUUUCUUCUCUUCU